rnacentral:rRNA from 1 species
UACGUAGGGACCGAGCGUUGUCCGGAUUCAUUGGGCGUAAAGAGCUCGUAGGCGGCUGCUCAAGUCGAAUGUGAAAACUCGAGGCUCAACCUCGAGCCUGCAUUCGAUACUGGGCGGCUAGAGUCUGGUAGGGGGAUCUGGAAUUCCUGGUGUAGCGGUGGAAUGCGCAGAUAUCAGGAGGAACACCAAUGGCGAAGGCAGCUCUCUGGGACGGUACUGACGCUGAGACGCGAAAGCGUGGGGAGCGAACAGG